rnacentral:rRNA from 1 species
GAUGAACGCUAGCGACAGGCUUAACACAUGCAAGUCGAGGGGCAGCACGGUGUAGCAAUACAUUGGUGGCGACCGGCGCACGGGUGAGUAACGCGUAUGCAACCUACCUAUCAGAGGGGAAUAACCCGGCGAAAGUCGGACUAAUACCGCAUAAAACAGGGGUUCCACAUGGAAAUAUUUGUUUAAGAUUUAUCGCUGAUAGAUGGGCAUGCGUUCCAUUAGAUAGUUGGUGAGGUAACGGCUCACCAAGUCUACGAUGGAUAGGGGUUCUGAGAGGAAGGUCCCCCACACUGGUACUGAGACACGGACCAGACUCCUACGGGAGGCAGCAGUGAGGAAUAUUGGUCAAUGGGCGAGAGCCUGAACCAGCCAAGUCGCGUGAAGGAUGAAGGAUCUAUGGUUUGUAAACUUCUUUUAUAUGGGAAUAAAGUGAGGAACGUGUUCCUUUUUGUAUGUACCAUAUGAAUAAGCAUCGGCUAACUCCGUGCCAGCAGCCGCCGUAA